UGUUCUCUUCUGCUGUCUCUCCCUCCAAU
rnacentral:piRNA from 1 species